rnacentral:rRNA from 1 species
GAUGAACGCUGGCGGCGUGCUUAACACAUGCAAGUCGAACGAAGCACUUUAUUUGAUUUCCUUCGGGACUGAUUAUUUUGUGACUGAGUGGCGGACGGGUGAGUAACUCGUGGGUAACCUGCCUUGUACAGGGGGAUAACAGUUGGAAACGGCUGCUAAUACCGCAUAAGCGCACGGCAUCGCAUGAUGCAGUGUGAAAAACUCCGGUGGUAUAAGAUGGACCCGCGUUGGAUUAGCUAGUCGGUGAGGUAACGGCCUACCAAGGCGACGAUCCAUAGCCGACCUGAGAGGGUGACCGGCCACAUUGGGACUGAGACACGGCCCAAACUCCUACGGAAGGCAGCAGUGGGGAAUAUUGCACAAUGGGCGAAAGCCUGAUGCAGCGACGCCGCGUGAGCGAAGAAGUGUUUCGGUAUGUAAAGCUCUAUCAGCAGGGAAGAUAAUGACGGUACCUGACUAAGAAGCACCGGCUAAAUACGUG